UACGUAGGGUGCGAGCGUUAAUCGGAAUUACUGGGCGUAAAGUGUGCGCAGGCGGCCGCGCAAGUCGAGUGUGAAAUCCCCGAGCUUAACUUGGGAAUUGCGCUCGAAACUACGUGGCUGGAGUGUGGCAGAGGAAGGUGGAAUUCCACGUGUAGCGGUGAAAUGCGUAGAGAUGUGGAGGAACACCGAUGGCGAAGGCAGCCCCCUGGGCUAACACUGACGCUCAUGCACGAAAGCGUGGGGAGCAAACAGG
rnacentral:rRNA from 1 species